rnacentral:lncRNA from 1 species
UUUUUGCAAGAUCUCUUACAAAAAAAAUAAAAAUUAAAGGAUCCUAAUUUAUUCUACUGUCGACAUUUGUUCUGGAUGCUUUAAUUUACUAAGAAACAAUUUUGUAAAAAACAACAUGAAUUCUACAGGAAACUGAAAAGCCACCAACCAAGCAAUUUAUUCAGAUAAAUCAAUUUAUUCAGAUAAAUCGCUUCAAAUUCUACGAAAAUGCCAAUCAGUUGAAUAGUUAUUUUGCCAUGUAUCCAGCAUACAUUUAUAAACUAGAACACAAGAAAACAGCUUCUAAAUAAAUUCAAGUAAAGUACUUAAGAAAUCCUAAACUUAAUUAUACCAAAAAGUUUUUUGUAGAUUGGGAGAUUAUAGACACCCCAGUUUAACAAAAUCCACCCGACAGCAAACAAAUUUUUUUCUCAAAACCCCCUCCCUUAAGAAGUCUGUCUUCUAUUUCUUUUCUUUCCCUCUCUUUUCUCUUUCACAACUCUGCUAUGCUCUGCUCUCACUCUCGUUUCUUUCUUUUUUUCCUUCUUUUAAAGCCACUCACAGUGAUGGUGGAGCGUCGCGAAGGCGUGUCGUGCACUGGUGUCAUGCGUCGCAAAGGCAGAUCGCAAAGACAGUAGAGCUGGAGGCGUUGCCGUGGUGUAAUGCGACAGUGGCUGUGUGGAGGCAGAUCGUGUGGUUGUAGAGCUGGUGUUGCACGACAGUGGUGGUGUUGAGCUGAGAUUUGUGGAGUGGCGGUGUAGAGAUGCAGGGAGAGCCACAAUAGUGAAAAGGAGAAAUAAAAAAUGAAAGCAAACUUUUUUCAUUUACAAUCCCGCAUAAAACCGACUCUCACACGGGUUUGAUUUAUGCGGGUUUGACCGCAUUACAAGUAUUUUUUACUACAUUGUAAUACGAUGAGGAAUACUUGCCAAACAUGAUAUUGUAUUAUUUUAAUACAAUGAGGAGUGCUAAUACCAUGUAAUGAGGGCUGCCAAACACGCCCUAUACCAACAACUUUACACAUUGCAUUUUUUCCUAUUGUCACUCUACCACCAUUAUGUUCUUGAGACGUAAUAAAAAGAUCUUUUAAAGGGACAUACAUUAAGAGAGCAACAGAAAUCUAAUGCUGAUUCACCUUUUUAGUUUAUUUCUGAAGCAAUUAACACACUAACUAAUCCAUAGUCUUCUUCAACAAUUACUGCAUCAUCACUUUGACCUUUUUUAUCCUUCUAUUUGUGUUUUCUUUCUGAUUGAAAUGAUCUUCUUAAUGGCAUUGAAAACACUUCAGAGUCUUGUUUUUAUUCUUGAAUUUUCCUUACUUCUUUUUCCUUUCAUUUUUUUUUAUCAUCUCUCUUUCACAGUUAACCCCCUUUACUAGAUCUAAUUUAAAGAUUUCUUUGUCUUUUUUUAUAACUCCCUUAUAUUAAGACUUUUCUUAACUUUUUUUUUAAUGAGCGAGUUUGCCUCCCGUAUAUAAGAGCAUCAAUAAAGUUCUUAUAAGAUUCAGGUAAAGAGCUCACCAAUAACAAGGCUUUUUCUUCAUUAUCUAAUGUUUCAUCAAUUAUGGAAAAAGUGUGACAGACUUCAUUAAAUUCAUAAAUAUCUUGAUCCAAUGAUGAGCCUUUAACCAUUUUCAGUGUGAACUUUUUUUAUAGAGUCUAUUUACAAGAGAUCUCUUCAUGGACAAGCUUUAUAGCUUCUCCUAUAAAGCAAUAAUUGUUGUUUCCUUUGCCACUUCUCUGAUCACAGAAUCUGCAAGGCUUAAAAUUAUUAUGCUUUUGGCCUUUUUGUCAAUCUCACCUAUUUGUUCGGGUGUCUUGGAUGAAGAAACAUCUUUACCUUCCUUUUAGUUUUUGGUUGAAUUGUAUCUUCUAAGCCUUGAGUGACUAAUAGAGCCUCCAUCUUGACUUUCCACAUGUUAAAACCAUUUUUGCUAUUCAACUUCUCUAGAUCUACUUUAGGUGAUGCCAUACUUGGAUCUUGAUCAGCAACCUCAAUCUUACACCACUUGAAAGACUGAUAUGUUCCAAAGACUUCAAAAGAUCAAUUCUAACCCCAAUUUUAUCAAGAUCAAACAAAGUUGCACACUCACAACAUGAACUAGAUUGAUAAAAAAAAUUAAUUAAUUAAUUAUUGCAAUAACUUAGUAUUAACCAAGAAUGAAAUUGAAAUUAGAUUACUAGCCAAAUCAUAGAGAACACAGAAAGAUACGUGAAGUAGUCUUUUGCAAGAUCUGCAUCCACGAGUGAAUCCAUCGAGCAAGCUUUUAUUGAUGAUUCAAAGAAUGAAUUACAAAGCUAUAUAGUUGAAAUUACAUAGAACAAGAAUAGUUUUUCCCUCUCUUGAUUCAGCAAUGAUCCCCCAAAUACACUAGAAAAUCAAAUUAUAAAACAGCUUUAUAAUAGCUUUUGUAAGCCAGAAUGCAUAGAUGAUUGACGCGUAUCCCAGAGGUCGUUAUAAUGAACUUAGCUCACUUAAGUAAUCACGAGCUUACUCAUAGGAGUAAUUAGUUACGAUAAAAAAGUAGCCUAUUGAUGUUGUUUUCAGCUUUAAAUGAUCAUGUUUUCUUCACGUGUCUUCCAUUUUGCUCGUAAGGUGAUUGAAUUCACCUCAUAACCAACAAUAUCAUUAAUUACAAUCCAUAAUAAAAAAACAAUUAUUGAAAAAUUACUAGGUAGCUCAUGAGUAACAUAUAGACUAAGUGUGAUCGUAGAUCACCCUCGCUCUAUUUUAAAAGCUCUUUAUAUUCUCUUUCAAGUAUAGUUUCCCUAUAAGAACACUAAAUACCUAAUUUCCCAGAGCAGCUCUCUCCCAGCCCAUAGCAUAUUGUGACUAACAGCUUGUUGGAGAAAAAUAAAGCCUUAGAAAUUGAAAAUACAUCUAAGAAGAAACAAAAUGUAUGGUAAGAAUUCGUAAUCGAAACAAACCGUAUUCACUCAAAUAAAUAUGAAUAUCUUAUUUAAUCGAAAUGUAAGAAUGAUACAUGUAAGGUGGCUUUCAUGAGUAUUUCAUUAAAAAUAUUCUAAAAUUCACUCUUGUUAUCCAAUAUAACUAUAUUUUGGCUAAUUAAAUUCAAUAUAAUAUUAUCUAACAUAUU